GACUGGAGACCACAGCAGCGAUUCUGCUCUUGCCCUACCUCUUCAAUGAGGACCCGAGUGGCCUUUAUGUCCGUGACAAGAUUUCACCGCUCUUCACUCCUUUACUGCACAUCGGCGGAAAUCCAUUUCACCACGAGAGUGAAAUCCCGCUGGCCUUUGAUGGGGAGAACAUUCACACCCUCGAGGACGUCCCCAUGGGGCUCUGCUAGGGCUGUAUUUUUUAUUUUCCAUAAAAUUUCCCAAAAAUGUCAGAAAAACACUUAUGUUGUUAAGUUACUGUGUUCUGGGGAGAAGGGAAGUUGGGGUGAAGUUACCAGGGCCGGUUAUAAAGAUGGCAAACUUCCUAACAUAACUAAGUGGAUACAAUAUACACACUAAAGCUGAAAAAUCUGUAUUUAGCAUCAAGUCUACAAUAUUGUUAGUUUACCUAUGAUUAAUUUUUAAUGUAUGUUGUUUUUAUUGUACAUCAUUAUUUAUAUAUAUAUUUUUAAAUGUCAUGAAAAUAACUAUACAAAGUAAAUGUAUUAUUUAUUGCAGAACAUGUCUGCAGAAAUGUUGCAAUUUUGUAAUGUGUGUUGUUUGGUAAAUUGUUUUGUAAAUAUUAAUUCACAUUUGUGGUGCCACUAAAAAAACAAUGAAUUAUUUAAAUCAAUAUUGUCAAUAUUGUUAUUAAAAUAUUUUUUUUAUAAUGGAGGGAGGGUGGACAGGGAGUUUAAAAAAUGAACCCCAAAAGGUUGUUAGAGGAACCAACCAUAGAAAAGGUUCUUCAAAUAACUUUUAGGGGUUUCCCCCACAGUUUCAAUUUGAAGAACCCCUACAGGAUACUCCAGGAACCUUUACUUUUUAGAAUGUAUAUUGAUAAAAGUCACCUUGUCCGAGAGACAUUUACAUAGUUAUACACAGCCUAUUUUGGGGCGAAAUAGCGGCCACAACAGACAGACCUGAUAUCGCCCAUAAUUCGACGUCACGCGCUGAGUGGAAAUUAACAAAGUUAUUCUAUUUAGCUACACUUUGCAGUACAUUUUUACACGAUAAUAAAUGUUUCUGAUGCCACAUCGCCCGUUUUCAAAGGGGGUCAUUGGUUUUUAGGGGCAGUCGCUUUUUAGCUUUUUGUCUGAAAGUAUUUUCUCAACUGCGAUACCAACUCCAGUCAGCAGAUGGCGAUGUGCGUCUUUCAGGUGAUUCUGACACUGAGACAUAUAAUCUAGUGGACGGGAUGCUUCUU
rnacentral:lncRNA from 1 species